rnacentral:rRNA from 1 species
GAAGGGAGCUUGCUCCCGGAUGUUAGCGGCGGACGGGUGAGUAACACGUGGGUAACCUGCCUGUAAGACUGGGAUAACUCCGGGAAACCGGAGCUAAUACCGGAUAGUUCCUUGAACCGCAUGGUUCAAGGAUGAAAGACGGUUUCGGCUGUCACUUACAGAUGGACCCGCGGCGCAUUAGCUAGUUGGUGAGGUAACGGCUCACCAAGGCGACGAUGCGUAGCCAACCUGAGAGGGUGAUCGGCCACACUGGGACUGAGACACGGCCCAGACUCCUACGGGAGGCAGCAGUAGGGAAUCUUCCGCAAUGGACGAAAGUCUGACGGAGCAACGCCGCGUGAGUGAUGAAGGUUUUCGGAUCGUAAAGCUCUGUUGUUAGGGAAGAACAAGUGCAAGAGUAACUGCUUGCACCUUGACGGUACCUAACCAGAAAGCCACGGCUAACUACGUGCCAGCAGCCGCGGUAAUACGUAGGUGGCAAGCGUUGUCCGGAAUUAUUGGGCGUAAAGGGCUCGCAGGCGGUUUCUUAAGUCUGAUGUGAAAGCCCCCGGCUCAACCGGGGAGGGUCAUUGGAAACUGGGAAACUUGAGUGCAGAAGAGGAGAGUGGAAUUCCACGUGUAGCGGUGAAAUGCGUAGAGAUGUGGAGGAACACCAGUGGCGAAGGCGACUCUCUGGUCUGUAACUGACGCUGAGGAGCGAAAGCGUGGGGAGCGAACAGGAUUAGAUACCCUGGUAGUCCACGCCGUAAACGAUGAGUGCUAAGUGUUAAGGGGGUUUCCGCCCCUUAGUGCUGCAGCUAACGCAUUAAGCACUCCGCCUGGGGGAGUACGGUCGCAAGACUGAAACUCAAAGGAAUUGACGGGAGCCCGCACAAGCGGUGGAACAUGUGGUUUAAUUCGAAGCAACGCGAAGAACCUUACCAGGUCUUGACAUCCUCUGACAACCCUAGAGAUAGGGCUUUCCCUUCGGGGACAGAGUGACAGGUGGGUGCAUGGGUUGUCGUCAG